rnacentral:lncRNA from 1 species
UUUAUACCCAUAUCCCAUCGGAGUAAAUCUUGACAGCAGAAAUAGCUCCGGAGUUGGUCAUGUUCAGUGCAGAUGUACCAUUACAUCUCACCUGUAUGCUAUACCAGUGUCUCCACACUCUUUGGUUAUGAGGACAACCAACCCAUAUGGCACACAACGACCUAUGCUCGAUAAACGUUGUCGUCCUUGGUAACAACGUAUCAUUUGAUCGCGAACAUGUUUAAGGACUAAGCGACAAAUCCUCCUUUGUCGAGUCUAAAUAGUCCUAAGGACUUCACCACAACACAGGAGUUCAUUAGAAGAUAAAACAUUUGUGAUAAAAAAAUAUCAAAAUAACUUUUAUUU